UAACUUAAGUCUCAAAGCCAUCAAAAAGUUCCUACAAUGUUUGAGAAUGUGGCCAUAAACAAAUCUGUUUUAGAUGUAAAAUAGAGGCAGUAGAAAUAAAUUCCUCCUUGUGACUUUUAUGCCAACAUGUCAUUAGCAGCUCCCAUGUGUUGCCAUCUCUGGUCCUGAAGCUGAUUUGGGAAAAGUAAUGGAAGGGCCAUCUGGUUCAACAGGGCCUCUUGACAUUAAAUGUCUUCUGUUAAAAGACCACGGGAGAGCCCAGGGAGGACUGACAUGGUCAAACUCACGUGAAUACCGCCAUCUAGUCAAAGCCUAAACACAUGAUUCAGUGAAUGAAGUAUGCAUUGUUGUAAAACGGCGGUGAUCAGAAACCCUCAGAGGAACCUUCAAAUCUGUAGUGUGAAUAGCUGGGAGUGAGUGUUCUUCUUUUAAAAAAGACCAACACUGGAUCAAAGUUUUAACAAGUCACCUUUGCUCUCUACUCAUCCAUCCUCAGUUCCAUCAAAUACUUCAGCUUUCAUGUUACAAACAGGAAAAACGUCAGCAAAGGGGGAUCAUCUUGUGUUUUUUUGUUUUCAUGGCUUCUUGCUGGGAGCUGAUGGGUAACCUUUUGGAACAUUUGAGCACAAGUCAUCCCUUCCUCCCCCGUGUGAGCAGCUGUUUACUGGACCUUAAGAAAAUGGGCAUACACAGAUACUUUUUAGUGCUAAAUGCAUUAGUCUUGACACCAUGUAUACCCCCUUCUCCUACAAACACAUGCAUGAAUGCACACACAUGCGCACAUCUGCCGUUUUUAAUGGAAAAAGUUGUCAGACGCGCACUUUCUUAUGACUGCUGCAAUAAAUAAAACAACAGCAUGUCAAAACAUUUAAUGAAAUGUGCAUUAGGUAUCAUCCCAAAAGACCAAUUUAAAGGUGUGUUCCACAGUUUAAUAGAUUGUUCCAGACAAAAGCACUUGGGACAGAGGCUGACUGAAAGCCUGCCUGCCUAUGUGUGUGUGUGUGUAUAUGUAUGUAUAUGAAUGUGUAGGUUGUGCAGCAUAUGCAGGAUUUUUAUGCGACACAGAGGAGAGGCAGAUCUGGGUUAAGGAGGGAGUGCCGGUGUGACGGGAUUCUGGAAGCAAGCGGUCUCUUGUCUCUUGGGUCCAUCUCUGUUCUGCUUGCUGGAGACACUGUGGCAGCAACAGUUAAUUAAAUGUUUUCCCAGGGACAAUGACCACAAGCUCUCUAAAACACUAUUACCUUCACAUUCUGUUCAGGCAGAAACACAAAAGCAAUACAUGUUUAAUUUAAAGACAUCAGAAAACAUCUAGGAUGGGCAGGAGCAGAGACAAAAGUUGGUUUGUGUUUUUGCCUGAGCGUGUACGCAUGUGUGCCUGUCUGUGUGGUAAUACCCAUGACAGAUUGUUCUCCUAAAAAACUGCGUAGUUAAAUAAACACUAUGCACACACUAUAUUCUUUGUUCAUGGAAGAUGUUUGGCAUUGAGAGGUACACAACUAUGAUUGCUGCUUGUCUGCAAUAUUGUGUUUUGUGUUUCAUUUGUAUGGAACAGAAACAGAUGAACCAUCUAUAAAGUGUACAGUGUGACAGAGCUAUCCAGCUUUGGCAGCCAGCUGUGAGUCUGUCCAGCCAGUCAGUGUGAGACAUCUGGGAUGCAUUGGACCUGUGAGAGAGGAGAGAGAGGGGGGCAGCUGGAACCUAUCAGAGCCCAGGAGAUCAACAGAUCUAUUCUGUUUCCACAGAUUGCACCAGCCUAAGACAGAAGUUGUUGCCAAAGGCCAAAGAGGAGGGAUUUGUUGCUCUGUGAAUGUUUGUCAGGGGUGAUGCAGAUUUUAGUUUCAGUUAUUCUGUCUUUUAUUAAGUCUUUUAAAAAAGGACUUGGGAACCACUAUAUACAUUUUUGCAGACUGUAAUAUUACCCUCCUGUCUCUUCCUCUCCUCUUUUUUGGUUAAUGUUCAGUGUCUUGGGGUGGGGUGAAUGUUUUUUUCUGUUUUGU